rnacentral:misc_RNA from 1 species
UCAUGAAGGGGAAAAUAUACGGUAUUUUGGGUACGAAUAUUAACUGGAUAUCAAGGAAACUUUCACAGAACACAAAUGUACCAUUAGAUUGUAAGCAAGUAACAAAAAUGAAGUCAAUUAAUUUAUAAAUUUGUAUUUGAUAAAACAGGUUGAAGUAUUUUGAUAUAUUUGUAUUAUUGCAUUAUUUGAUUGUGCUGUAAUUUUCGCAUUAACUGCUAUUGUUUUCCUAAACGUGUGUGAAAAGAUACUAGCAAACAUUUAAGUAAGUGUUACGUUAGAAGGUGUGUUAAGUAUAAAAGAUGAGAAAAGUUGAAGCAGUGUUUACUUGAUACAUUCCAAUUAAAUGUACAGUCGAUAAAAAAUCAAAACAAGACAUACGAGUAUGGCCUGGUGUUUUGAUUCUGAAUAUACUAAUGUAAUAACACGGCAGCAGAAAUUGCAAACAUUGUUUACGUAUUGUCGAGUUGCCUGUUGAGUUAUUAGUGAAGGAAUAAACCGGCUUUAAAUAUAAAAUGGCCACAUCCGUGAACUGCUCGUGCGUGAAAUAGUGAUCAUGGUACGUUAUAUCGUAUAGACAGGAUUUAAAUUAUAAAGGAAUAAGCUGAAAAUGUAGACUUGUGCACCUACUAAAACAACAUAAAUUUAUUUCAUAAGAGAACAUAAAUACCUCAGCGUACAGCAUUAAAAGAUACUUUCAACUAUGCAUAGAAAAGCUGGAAGUACGAUCUGUACCGUGACAGAUGCUUUGUUCUUGCGUUUCGGACAAGACUUUUCCGUGUUUUUGGCUGGUGCUGGAAAACCUCGUCUUACACCCUGGGAAAAAUAGUUUUUUAAAAGUAUUUGUUUUAUUUCAUUUACUAAUUAGAGAAUACGGUGUGAAAGAAAACGAUUCUAUCACUGAUUGAAGAUGCGAAUGGAAAUAUCUGGCUCUUGGGUAACUGUAUUGCGGUAAUUCGACAAAGCUUAGUUGCCGCACAAACAUAUACCUUUGAGCCAGAUAUUUCAAUUCGCAUCUUCGACAAGUUCCCAGAUACCAGGAUCAUGCAACGGUACUUUACGGAAUGAGUAGAAUUAGGUUUCAACAUACCAGGUAUAUUAAGGAUAUAUGGUCUCAUGAAGGAGAGAGGGUUUUCAAAUAGGAACAUUUUAUCCCACAUUUCACUUAUAUAACAAUACUAAAUAUCUUGGUGAAAAAAAAGAAGAUUUAUGCAGUAAAACUGAAUUUUUAGGUGAAUUUACGCAAAUGAAUUGGUAUACUGUAUGAUGUAUAUUCAUCUAUGUGUCAAGUUUUUAUUCUAUACAUCAUCAUUUAUUAUAAAAAUAAGACAAAAUGGUACCAGAAUACUUUGCACUUUUGUUCGGUGUCUGUUAUGUUUUCAAAUGAUCGAUUUUGUUAAAUAAUUAUAAAAAAAGACAUUAAACGUCUUUUUACACAAUCCCUACAUGUUCAUAUUUUAUCCCCACUUAUUAGUUUAACAGUCCUCAUAUUUUAACUACUUAUUUUUAAAGCUUGCGUCUGAAUUAUGACUUUUACAUUUAAAAGUUAUAAAUUAUAUGCCUUAAGAAAUAAGUACCUUUUCUUUCGUGUCAGCGCAAGAAUACGUCAAGCGAAAAUAGUGCUAAUUUAUACUGCCUGUUCACGCAGUGUGACAUUACUUCCGCUAUUUGUAUGAAUAUCAUUACAUUAACGGUGAGGUAAUAUACACUUUAGUGGACCUGUUAAACAAAAUCACUUGUCUUUAUUUUAUGUCAGUUUUAUACAUAAUUUAUGAAUUUAAAAUAGGAUGUUUGUGACUACAUAUUGCUAUAUAUAGGUUGAGGUCGGAUAUAUUUAUCAGUGUGUUAUAUAACAGGAAGAGAAUCAUGUAUAUUUAAUGUUAAUUAAGGAUGACAAUUUCGCUCAAGAAGAAACGUAUUUUUAUAAGUUAUAUCUUAUUCAUUUUCUGCUACACUUUUGUGUCUUUAUUGAUAUUUGAUAUGUACGGUGGCUUUCAUUAUAAAGAUGGUGUUCCUUCUAGUAGACCAUAUGACACAGAAAUCGGUAUGUUUUCCUUUCAUGAACAUUUGUAUGAUGAAAACGGAAAGUUACAAGCAUACAAAGAAAUAUCUGGAUACAUCAUGGAAAUACGAAUUUAUAUGUGUACCAUCAACAUUAAUAAAGAAACUUGUUUAAUCUCGUAUCGUGAUUAUCCAGCCGCCAUGAAAUUUGUAUAUAUUGCCUUGUUUUGGCAUUUGCUAAUAUCUCUCUUCAUUUACACACCAAUUUCUGUUUUACCUCGUUUUUCAACAAAACGAAUCUGCAAUUUGAAAGAACAGACAUUAGAUAUUUUAACAGCUUCUUUGUUCGCUUUUACAUGUGUAUUUCAUGUUUUGGGAUACAUUAUGUACGUGCAAGUGAUAGGAAAAGAAAUUUUCAUGGCAGGAUCUGACUCGAGUUGUCUACUUCGGGCUUGCAAAUGCUAGUUUUAGUCCAGUGGUUGUGGUGCUUUUAAUUCUAUUGUAUAAAAGACGCAUGCAUUCGAAUGAAAAUGGCCUGGUAUACGUGAAGUAUAAAAAGAUGAAAUCAACAGCAAAACAUAAUCCUUCCCAGGCGGCAGAGGAAAAUGCAGGCAUUCAGAGACCCUCGCGAUCCCAGAGUUCAGAAAAUAUCUAUCGUCCUCCAGACACACAAAGUGUUGCUGGCAAUAUUCGAAAUCUAGUUGAAAAACUUUGGAAACCAGCAAAAGUUGGUAUUGGACGUGAUGCAAAAGGACUCUAUCAUUAAUCAAUUGAUAUCACAGACAUAACAUUAAUCGGUAACGACAGUGUGUUUCAGCUCUACGCCAAGAAAAAGAAGAUGAUUGAACAGUUUGCAGCUUCUGUUGGUGGAAAACUAAAUCCUCCAGAAACAUAUGCUACUGUAACCAGUCCUAUCCAGACAGCUGGGUUUGGGAAUUUAGUAAAGGGAAUAAACUGUGGAAUCAAUGAGUAUUAUUUGUUUCACGGAACACCAAUUGCCAAUCUUGAAUCAAUUGAACGGUAUGGAUUUUUCAUGGAAAAAUACAAACAUUCAAUGUUAGGGAAAGGGAUUUAUUUCACCGAGGAUCCCGUCAAAGCCGACCAGUACACAGGUAAAGGAGAUGAUGUUAAAGACCCACUAUGUUGUAUGAUACUAUGCAGAGUGCUGAUCGGAGACGGCGUUAUACAGAGACGUAAUGUGAAAAACCCUACAAUGACGUCAAAUGCUACAUCCGCCCCGUGUAAAACAUGUUUAAAACCCAAACCAGACUGCCAGUGUAGAAAAUCUAUAAAAUUUGACUCUGUGAUAUUUGAUGGGUUGUUAUUUAGAGAGUUCGUUGUUUAUGAAACUUGUUCAUGCUUUCCUGAAUUUGCUAUAUUAUACCAGAGAGUAAAAAGCAACGUCUAUCCUAUGAUUAUCGGGUAAAUAAAUUAUUUCUUAUUUUA